rnacentral:pre_miRNA from 1 species
UUCAUACUCCCUCCGUCCGGAAAUACUUGUCAUCAAAAUGGAUAAAAAAGGAUGUAUCUAGACGUAUUUUAGUUUUUGAUACAUCUUUUUUUGUCCAUUUCGAUGACAAGUAUUUUCGGACGGAGGGAAUAUAUU